CAAUGGACGAAAGUCUGAUGGAGCAACGCCGCGUGAGUGAUGAAGGUUUUCGGAUCGUAAAACUCUGUUGUAAGGGAAGAACAAGUGCGUUAGGUAAUGAACGCACCUUGACGGUACCUUAUUAGAAAGCCACGGCUAACUACGUGCCAGCAGCCGCGGUAAUACGUAGGUGGCAAGCGUUGUCCGGAUUUAUUGGGCGUAAAGCGCGCGCAGGUGGUUUCUUAAGUCUGAUGUGAAAGCCCACGGCUCAACCGUGGAGGGUCAUUGGAAACUGGGGAACUUGAGUGCAGAAGAGGAUAGUGGAAUUCCAAGUGUAGCGGUGAAAUGCGUAGAGAUUUGGAGGAACACCAGUGGCGAAGGCGACUGUCUGGUCUGUAACUGACACUGAGGCGCGAAAGCGUGGGGAGCAAACAGGAUUAGAUACCCUGGUAGUCCACGCCGUAAACGAUGAGUGCUAAGUGUUAGGGGGUUUCCGCCCCUUAGUGCUGCAGCUAACGCAUUAAGCACUCCGCCUGGGGAGUACGACCGCAAGGUUGAAACUCAAAGGAAUNGACGGGGGCCCGCACAAGCGGUGGAGCAUGUGGUUUAAUUCGA
rnacentral:rRNA from 1 species